UACAGAGGUCUCAAGCGUUGUUCGGAUUCAUUGGGCGUAAAGAGCGUGUAGGCGCCAGGUAGGUCCGUUGUGAAAACUCGAGGCUCAACCUCGAGACGUCGGCGGAAACCCUCUGGCUAGAGUCCGGAAGAGGAGAGUGGAAUUCCUGGUGUAGCGGUGAAAUGCGCAGAUAAUCAGGAAGAACACCCGUGGCGAAGGCGGCUCUCUGGGACGGUACUGACGCUGAGACGCGAAAGCGUGGGGAGCAAACAGG
rnacentral:rRNA from 1 species